AGGUGGACACUCGACCUCUUCCCUGACACGGAAGAGGUCACUGGUUCGAUCCCAGUAUCGCCCACCA
rnacentral:tRNA from 1 species